GUYCCUGUAGUAUAAACAAAUUACACUGGUCUUGUAAACCAAAAAUGAAGAACAUUCUUCCAAGGAUA
rnacentral:tRNA from 1 species